AUUGAACGCUGGCGGCAUGCUUUACACACGCAAGUCGGACGGCAGCGGGGGUGCUUGCACCUGCCGGCGAGUGGCGAACGGGUGAGUAACAUAUUGGAAUGUACCGAGUAGUGGGGGAUAACCAAUCGAAAGAUUGGCUAAUACCGCAUACGUCCUAAGGGGGAAAGCAGGGGAUCUUCGGACCUUGCGCUAUUUGAGCAGCCAAUAUCUGAUUAGCUAGUUGGUGGGGUAAGAGCCCACCAAGGCGACGAUCAGUAGCGGGUCUGAGAGGAUGAUCCGCCACACUGGGACUGAGACACGGCCCAGACUCCUACGGGAGGCAGCAGUGGGGAAUUUUGGACAAUGGGGGCAACCCUGAUCCAGCCAUGCCGCGUGCCUGAAGAAGGCCUUCGGGUUGUAAAGGACUUUUGUUAGGGAAGAAAAGAGAAGU
rnacentral:rRNA from 1 species